rnacentral:rRNA from 1 species
AAAUUGAAGAGUUUGAUCAUGGCUCAGAUUGAACGCUGGCGGCAGGCCUAACACAUGCAAGUCGAACGGUAACAGGAAACAGCUUGCUGUUUCGCUGACGAGUGGCGGACGGGUGAGUAAUGUCUGGGAAACUGCCUGAUGGAGGGGGAUAACUACUGGAAACGGUAGCUAAUACCGCAUAACGUCGCAAGACCAAAGAGGGGGACCUUCGGGCCUCUUGCCAUCGGAUGUGCCCAGAUGGGAUUAGCUAGUAGGUGGGGUAACGGCUCACCUAGGCGACGAUCCCUAGCUGGUCUGAGAGGAUGACCAGCCACACUGGAACUGAGACACGGUCCAGACUCCUACGGGAGGCAGCAGUGGGGAAUA